AAGUCGUAACAAGGUUUCCGUAGGUGAACCUGCGGAAGGAUCAUUAACACAGUGCCAAACUGUAUCAACCAACGCGAACUGUUUCUCCCUAGGCUACUAGCGGGUUCUAAUGGUCAGAGUCGUAUACUUCUUAGCGGACUUUAAUGAAGGCGCAAAGGUGAGUUCCCUAGUUGGAUUCCCGAGCCGGAAAGGAAAGCUAGGUAGAUCGCUAUUAGGACUGGAAGUCUUUGAGCUUCACCGCUUCUAGUGUAGGUGUAUCCUUUUCUUAACUAGUACCUUAGGUACGGUGAGGGAACGUUAAGACUUUAUUAACCCCUACAUGACUGAAUGACUGAGAUUUGAUGCUUCGAAAGGAGCUAUCAAAAUAAAAACGCGAAACAACUCUUAGCAAUGGAUCUCUUGGCUUCUG
rnacentral:misc_RNA from 1 species